GAUGAACGCUGGCGGCGUGCCUAAUACAUGCAAGUCGAGCGAACGGACGAGAAGCUUGCUUUUCUGAUGUUAGCGGCGGACGGGUGAGUAACACGUGGAUAACCUACCUAUAAGACUGGGAUAACUUCGGGAAACCGGAGCUAAUACCGGAUAAUAUUUUGAACCGCAUGGUUCAAAAGUGAAAGACGGUCUUGCUGUCACUUAUAGAUGGAUCCACGCUGCAUUAGCUAGUUGGUAAGGUAACGGCUUACCAAGGCAACGAUGCAUAGCCGACCUGAGAGGGUGAUCGGACACACUGGAACUGAGACACCGUCCAGAGUCCUACGGGAGGCAGCAGUAGGGAAUCUACCACGAUGAGCGAAAGCCUGACGGAGCAACGCCGCGUGAGUGAUGAAGGUCUUCGGAUCGUAAAACUCUGUUAUUAGGGAAGAACAUAUGUGUAAGUAACUGUGCUCAUCUUGACGGUACCUAAUCAGAAAGCCACGGCUAACUACGUG
rnacentral:rRNA from 1 species